AUGUUUAUGGAGAAACAGCACAGCACAGCAAAAGGAUUCCAUAAAGAGCUGGUGUCUUUGAGAGAGAGCAGUCACCUGGGGGAACAGGAAAAAGAGUUGUGUGAGGAGCAGCCCGGUGACUCAGAGUCAGCAGCCUGCCCCUCUGCACUCACCAGGCCACGAGGGUCGGAGGAAAAAGGACAGUCUAUGUCUGCUGAUCCCAUCACUGGAAGAGCCUCCUGCUGUCCAUGGGGAACUUCUGCCUCCAGCAAGAAAAUAGACAAUAAUGGCUUCUCACAGCUGGACUAA
rnacentral:lncRNA from 1 species